rnacentral:rRNA from 1 species
AUUGAACGCUGGCGGCAGGCCUAACACAUGCAAGUCGAGCGGAUGAAGAGAGCUUGCUCUCUGAUUCAGCGGCGGACGGGUGAGUAAUGCCUAGGAAUCUGCCUGGUAGUGGGGGACAACGUUUCGAAAGGAACGCUAUACCGCAUACGUCCUACGGGAGAAAGUGGGGGAUCUUCGGACCUCACGCUAUCAGAUGAGCCUAGGUACGAUUAGCUAGUUGGUGAGGUAAAGGCUCACCAAGGCGACGAUCGUUAACUGGUCUGAGAGGAUGAUCAGUCACACUGGAACUGAGACACGGUCCAGACUCCUACGGGAGGCAGCAGUGGGGAAUAUUGGACAAUGGGCGAAAGCCUGAUCCAGCCAUGCCGCGUGUGUGAAGAAGGUCUUCGGAUUGUAAAGCACUUUAAGUUGGGAGGAAGGGCAGUAAGUUAAUACCUUGCCGUUUUGACGUUACCGACAGAAUAAGCUCCGGCUAACUUCGUGCCAGCCGCCGCCGUAAGAC